AACGAACGCUGGCGGCAUGCCUAACACAUGCAAGUCGAACGAGACCUUCGGGUCUAGUGGCGCACGGGUGCGUAACGCGUGGGAACCUGCCCUUAGGUUCGGAAUAACUCACCGACAGGGGUGCUAAUACCGGAUAAUGUCUUCGGACCAAAGAUUUAUCGCCUUUGGAUGGGCCCGCGUUGGAUUAGCUAGUUGGUAGGGUAAAAGCCUACCAAGGCGACGAUCCAUAGCUGGUCUGAGAGGAUGAUCAGCCACACUGGGACUGAGACACGGCCCAGACUCGUACGGGAGGGAGCAGUAGGGAAUAUUGUACAAUGGGCGAAAGCCUGGUCCAGCAAUGCCGCGUGAGUGAUGAAGGCCUUAGGGUUGUAAAGCUCUUUUACCCGGGAUGAUAAUGACAGUACCGGGAGAAUAAGCUCCGGCUAACUCCGUG
rnacentral:rRNA from 1 species